rnacentral:rRNA from 1 species
UGAGAGUUUGAUCCUGGCUCAGGACGAACGCUGGCGGCGCGCCUAAUACAUGCAAGUCGAACGGGCUGCCUUCGGGCAGCUAGUGGCGGACGGGUGAGUAACACGUGGGUGACCUGCCCUCAAGUGGGGAAUAACGCUGCGAAAGCAGCGCUAAUACCGCAUCCCCUUAGUCGUUCAGUCGAUUAAGGAAAGCUCCGGCGCUUGAGGAGGGGCCUGCGGCCGAUUAGCUAGUCGGAGGGGUAAUGGCCCACCGAGGCAACGAUCCGUAGCUGGUCUGAGAGGACGAUCAGCCACACUGGGACUGAGACACGGCCCAGACUCCUACGGGAGGCAGCAGUAGGGAAUUUUGCGCAAUGGGGGGAACCCUGACGCAGCAACGCCGCGUGGAGGAUGAAGCCCCUUGGGGUGUAAACUCCUUUCGAUCGGGACGAUUAUGACGGUACCGGAUGAAGAAGCCCCGGCUAACUACGUGCCAGCAGCCGCGGUAAUUCCCCUGUGUGA